CCAAGGGCGCACGGUGGAUGCCCUGGCACCCGAGCCGAUGAAGGACGUGGUUGCCUGCGAUAAGCCUGGGGGAGCUGGCAAACAAGCUGUGAUCCCAGGAUCUCCGAAUGGGGAAACCCGGCCGUUGGGAACAGCGGUCAUCGCCCAUCUGGGCGAGGGGUACGCGGGGAACUGAAACAUCUUAGUACCCGCAGGAGAAGAAAGAGUCAUCGAUUCCCUUAGUAGUGGCGAGCGAACUGGGAAGAGCCUAAACCGGCGUGCGUGCACGCUGGGGUCGUGGGACCCGCACCAUGCCGAAGCCUCACGCUGAGUCGAGCGGUUCUGGAACGGCCGACCACAGAGGGUGAGAGUCCCGUAGGCGAAGGUGUGAGGAUCGGCGCGGGCUCCCGAGUAGCCUGGAAUUCGUGGAGUUCUGGGUGAAUCUGGGCGGACCACCGCCUAAGGCUAAAUACAUCGGGUGACCGAUAGCGGACGAGUACCGUGAGGGAAUGGUGAAAAGAACCCCGGGAGGGGAGUGAAAGAGAACCUGAAACCGUGCGCUUACAGGCAAUCGCGGCGCGUACGCCUCGUGCUGCGUUGCGGUGUGCCUAUUGAAGCAUGAGCCGGCGACUCACGGUGGGCUGCAAGCUUAAGGCUUGAAGCCGGAGGCGUAGCGAAAGCGAGUCCGAAGAGGGCGUGAGUAGUCCGCCGUGGACCCGAAACCUGGAGAGCUAGGCCUGGCCAGGCUGAAGCCGGGGUGACACCCGGUGGAGGGCCGAACCGACGGGAGAUGCAAAUCCUCCGGAUGAGCUGGGUCUAGGAGUGAAAAGCUAACCGAUCCAGGAGAUAGCUGGUUCUCCCCGAAAUGACUUUAGGGUCAGCCUCGGGUGCUGAUCGGAUCCCGUAGAGCGCUGAUUGGGCUAGGGGGCCCACCAGCCUACCAAACCCUGUCAAACUCCGAAGGGGUCCGAGUGGAGCCCGGGAGUGAGGGCACGAGUGCUAACAUCCGUGUCCGAGCGCCGGAACAACGGAGAUCGCCGAUUAAGGCCCCCAAGUCUGGGCUGAGUGGGAAAGGAUGUGGGACCGCACAGACAGCCAGGAGGUUGGCUUAGAAGCAGCCAUCCUAGAACGAGUGCGUAACAGCUCACUGGUCGAGUGGUCCUGCGCCGAAAAUGAUCGGGGCUCAAGCCCAGCGCCGAAAUCGCGGCCCCCGCAAGGGGGGGUAGGGGAGCGUUCCCGAUGCCUGUGAAGGUGGACCGCGAGGGCCACUGGAGGUAAGGGAAGUGCGAAUGCCGGCAUGAGUAACGCCAAAAUGGGGUGAGAAUCCCCAUCGCCGUAAACCCAAGGGUUCCUGCGCCAUGGUCGUCAGCGUAGGGUCAGGCGGGACCUAAGGUAUAGCCGAAUGGCGAAGCCGAAUGGACAGCUGGUCAACAUUCCAGCCCCACACGGCGGUGCGAAGGGGGGACGCUCUAGGCUCGGCCGACCGGAGCCAUGGAUGAGCCCGGCCGGGACGCAGGGGGGGUGAGAGGCAAAUCCCUCGCCCACGAACCCCUGUCCAACCGGGGAAGCCGUCAGGUGACAACCGGCCUAUGCCAGGGAGCCGAGAAAAGCCUCUAAGCUCCAACCGUCGUGUGCCCGUACCGGAAACCGACACCGGUGGGUGGGUGGAACUCCACCAAGGCGAUCGAGAGCACCCUCGCUAAGGAACUUUGCAAACUCGCCCCGUAACUUCGGGAGAAGGGGUGCCCGCGCGAGCGGGCCGCAGUGAAGAGGCUCUGGCGACUGUUUACCAAAAACACAGCUCUGUGCGAACACGAAAGUGGAGGUAUACGGAGCGACGCUUGCCCGGUGCUGGAAGGUCAAGGGGAGGGGUGCAAGCUCCGAACCGAAGCCCCAGUGAACGGCGGCCGUAACUAUAACGGUCCUAAGGUAGCGAAAUUCCUUGUCGGGUAAGUUCCGACCUGCACGAAAAGCGUAACGACCGGAGCGCUGUCUCAGCGAGGGACUCGGUGAAAUUGAACUGGCUGUGAAGAUGCGGCCAACCCGUGGCAGGACGAAAAGACCCCGUGGAGCUUUACUGCAGCCUGACAUUGGCCUCCGGGCGUCUCUGCGUAGCAUAGGUGGGAGCCUGUGAACCCUGGCUUUCGGGCUGGGGGGAGGCGUCCGUGAAAUACCACCCUGAGACGUCGGGAUGCCUAACCCCGCGAGGGGGACCGUGUUUGGCGGGCAGUUUGACUGGGGUGGUCGCCUCCUAAAGUGUAACGGAGGCGCCCAAAGGUUCCCUCAGGUGGGACGGAAACCCACCGUGGAGCGCAAGGGUAGAAGGGAGCCUGACUGCGAGGCAAGCGAGCCGAGCAGGAGCGAAAGCUGGGCCUAGUGAACCGGUGGUCCCGUGUGGAAGGGCCAUCGAUCAACGGAUAAAAGUUACCCCGGGGAUAACAGGCUGAUCUCCCCCGAGCGUCCAUAGCGGCGGGGAGGUUUGGCACCUCGAUGUCGGCUCGUCACAUCCUGGGGCUGAAGAAGGUCCCAAGGGUUGGGCUGUUCGCCCAUUAAAGUGGCACGCGAGCUGGGUUCAGAACGUCGUGAGACAGUUCGGUCUCUAUCCGCCACGGGCGGAGGAGGUUUGAGGGAGGCUGCUCCUAGUACGAGAGGACCGGAGUGGACGCACCUCUGGUUUCCCGGCUGUCCCUCCAGGGGCAUAUGUCGGGUCGCCAUGUGCGGAAGGGAGAACCGCUGAAAGCAUCUAAGCGGGAAGCCCGUCCCAAGAUGAGACCUCCCACUGGGUCAACCAGGUAAGGACCCUGCAAGACGAGCAGGUGAAUCGGCCCGGAGUGGAAGCGCCGUAAGGUGUGAAGCUGACGGGUGCGAAUCGUCCGAGGUCUUGACC
rnacentral:rRNA from 1 species